CAGUGAUCCUAUCUAAAGCAGUGAUCCUAUCUAGAGCAGUGUGGGGGUUUCUUCUUAAUAAAGAGCAGUGAUCCUAUCUAGAGCAGUGUGGGGUUUCUUCUUAAUAAAGAGCAGUGAUCCUAUCUAGAGCAGUGUGGGGGUUUCUUCUUAAUAAAGAGCAGUGAUCCUAUCUUGAGCAGUGAUCCUAUCUAAAGCAGUGAGGGUUUCUUCUUAAUAAAGAGCAGUGAUCCUAUCUAGAGCAGUGUUGGGGUUUCUUCUUUAAAAAGAGCAGUGAUCCUAUCUAGAGCAGUGAUCCUAUCUAGAGCAGUGAUCCUAUCUAGAGCAGUGAUCCUAUCUAGAGCAGUGAUCCUAUCUAGAGCAGUGUGGGGGUUUCUUCUU